CUAAUACCGCAUAACAUCUGCCUUUGAACAGGUGGAGAUCAAAGCCGGGGAUCGCAAGACCUGGCGCUUGAUGAGGGGCCCGCGCCUGAUUAGCUAGUUGGUGAGGUAAUGGCUCACCAAGGCGACGAUCAGUAUCCGGCCUGAGAGGGCGGACGGACACACUGGGACUGAGACACGGCCCAGACUCCUACGGGAGGCAGCAGUGGGGAAUUGUUCGCAAUGGGCGCAAGCCUGACGACGCAACGCCGCGUGGAGGAUGAAGGUCUUCGGAUUGUAAACUCCUGUUGCUCGGGACGAAAAGCUUCGACCUAACACGUCGAGGUCUGACGGUACCGAGUGAGGAAGCCCCGGCUAACUCUGUGCCAGCAGCCGCGGUAAUACAGAGGGGGCAAGCGUUGUUCGGAAUUACUGGGCGUAAAGGGCGCGUAGGCGGCCUGCUAAGUCGAACGUGAAAUCCCUGGGCUCAACCCAGGAACUGCGUCCGAUACUGGUUGGCUUGAGUCCGGGAGAGGGAUGUGGAAUUCCAGGUGUAGCGGUGAAAUGCGUAGAUAUCUGGAGGAACACCGGUGGCGAAGGCGACAUCCUGGACCGGUAUUGACGCUGAGGCGCGAAAGCCAGGGGAGCAAACG
rnacentral:rRNA from 1 species